UAUUCUGCCCCAUGGGGAAGGAUGAGAAGCUUCGACUAAGGUUCGACUCGAGCGACAGCGAGAGAACGUUGCCGCAGGCAACGGCCCGAAGGGCGAGGCGCUUUAGCGCCGAGUAAUCCUUCCCCCACCACCA
rnacentral:sRNA from 1 species